rnacentral:tRNA from 3 species
GGAGGGGUACCCAAGCGGUCAACGGGGGCAGACUGUAAAUCUGUUGGCUCAGCCUUCGUAGGUUCGAAUCCUACCCCCUCCACCA